GCCGUGGUGGCGGAAUGGUAUACGCGGUGGUCUCAAAAACCACUGGGCCGAAAAGCCCGUGUGGGUUCGACUCCCACCCACGGCACCA
rnacentral:tRNA from 1 species